rnacentral:rRNA from 1 species
CCUACGGGUGGCUGCAGUGGGGAAUAUUGGACAAUGGGGGGAACCCUGAUCCAGCGACGCCGCGUGAGUGAAGAAGUAUUUCGGUAUGUAACGCUCUAUCAGCAGGGAAGAAAGAAAUGACGGUACCUGACUAAGAAGCCCCGGCUAACUACGUGCCAGCAGCCGCGGUAAUACGUAGGGGGCAAGCGUUAUCCGGAUUUACUGGGUGUAAAGGGAGCGUAGACGGCGAUGCAAGUCUGAAGUGAAAGGCGGGGGCCCAACCCCUGGACUGCAUUGGAAACUGUAUGGCUGGAGUGCAGGAGAGGUAAGUGGAAUUCCUAGUGUAGCGGUGAAAUGCAUAGAUAUCACACAGAACACCGAUUGCGAAGGCAUCUCACGAAUCCGCGAUUGACGCUGAUGCACGAAAGCGUGGGUAUCAAACAGGAUUAGAUACCCCAGUAGUC